AGGUCUUCAAUUCGAGUCAAGAUGAAACUGUUCGUGUUACUUUUGUCGGCUACUGUUUUGGCCGUGUCGUCUGCUACAGUUAUACCAACAACAGAAGUGCCUGUUGAAGUCACAACACUCUCACAACAGAAUGUCGGAUCCAGCAAAUUUGAUGGCGUGGAUCUUGAUCUCCUCACGCAGGAAGAAUUGGAAGCUUUGAUGGAAGCUGAAGAUGAAAGAUUUACGGGUGAACUUGUCAAUGAAAUAAACAAGAGAUCACGUCACGACUCUAAUGUAGCACGACCAAAUAGAGCGGUUCCCCUGGUUCCUCUGGCCAUUGCUGGUGGACGUAUUGCCUUUGCCGCUGGACGAGCUUUCUUAAGUCGCUAUGCCAGAGGAAGAAUAACCAGAAGUGGUCCCAGACUUACCAAACAAUAUUCAAGACGAGGCAACUAUUUCACCGGACUGAGAGAAUUCUAGAAAUUGAAUCCAACUGGUGUUAACCCGAUUAGAGGUUCCAAAUUUAGAGGUUGGACCGGAACUAUAAAUGGAAAGUAUAAUGUUACUGUCAGGAGUGGAAGCAGAGGAAGCAAUGGUUACAAUGGACCACCAACCCUCGACAUCAUUAGCAAAGGUGGGGACCUCGUCAGAAAAUUCAGAUACAAAUAAAUAGUGUAGUCUCUUUUGUC